rnacentral:rRNA from 1 species
UACAGAGGGUGCAAGCGUUGUUCGGAAUUAUUGGGCGUAAAGGGUGCGUAGGUGGCGGGGCAAGUUUGAUGUGAAAGCUCAGGGCUUAACCCUGAAAUGGCAUUGAAUACUGCUUUGCUGGAGGUUUGGAGGGGGGACUGGAAUUCUUGGUGUAGCAGUGAAAUGCGUAGAUAUCAAGAGGAACACCAGUGGCGAAGGCGAGUCCCUGGACAACACCUGACACUGAGGCACGAAAGCUAGGGGAGCAAACAGG